rnacentral:snoRNA from 1 species
CACUGAGCCACCUCUCCAGCCCCCCAUAUUCUUGUUUACUGGCAAAGCUGUCAUCAUUUAAUUGGCAUCAGAUUCUGACUUGCACAAGUAACAUUC